rnacentral:rRNA from 1 species
UGACCUCGGAUCAGGUAGGAAUACCCGCUGAACUUAAGCAUAUCAAUAAGCGGAAGAA